ACGUAUAUAUGUAUAUGUAUAUCUAGGGGGUAUAGAAUUUCUUUUCUUUCUCUCUAUCUGAAUUCUCUUUCCUCCUUUAAAGUACUGCAGGCAUACAAAGAACAGACUGAAGCACUACCCAAAGUAUACAUUUAUUCUUUUCCAGAAAAACUUUGGGGGAAGGGUUUGUUAAAGAUCUUAUAAGCUUGGCACAUUUUCAGUGUAUGGCUGAAUGCCUGUAUCAGGCUCUUCAAAUCCAAGCCAGUUCCCACAUUCACCAUUCUCAGGGCCAAGGAAGCAUAAGAACCUGUCUGUUUGACCCACCUAACUCCUCUAUAAAAGCUCCCCGUUAGCCUGCUUUUUGUGGAUAAUUCAGAUGAGCUAAUCUAUGGGGCCAUAAGGAACCCAAAGUAUUUGCUGAAAAAGACACAGAGAUGCAGAUCAAAGCCAAAACCAUCCCAAGUGCUGAAGGACAAGUGGCUAGAAAAGAUUCUGCCCUACUGCUAACACAGUGGGAUGUAGAAGUUUAGCAAAGGUGUGAUGGCAACCAAGGCAUCCAAUUUCCUGCCAGCAAGCUCCCCCUGUGUAGGUCACUAGAGUUUAGCAGGGAUUAUGAGAAACUUUGCAGGAAGACGUUGUUUCUGUUACCAUCCAUAGGCAAAAUGGGAGAGGGGGAGAAAGGAUGGCGCUUGAACAAAAACGGCCUUGAUUUUGAAAAGCCAAGAAAUGUUCUUUGCCUGAGCAAAUUCAUUUUAGGUUAAUGAAGCAAGGCUGUACUUUCUUCCACCCCUUUUUCCAACUCUGUCUUGGACAAAAGCCAGUGAGAGAAACUGACUCAGAUGCUGGGAACCAGGGGAAAUUGUUGCCUUUUGUCCAAAGGGACCUUCAAAAGAUUUGCAAUUGUGUAGGAGAAGAGAACUGGUCAUACAGUUGAUUCAUCCCUCCCAAGAAUCCCUGCCAAAGUAUCAGGAACUAAACUGGCACAUUACAGACUAAUGAAGCAGGCUGUGUCCAUGUUACAAUAAGAUAAGAGAAAAUUUCCCACUAGGCCAUCUGAACCCACCACCCAGCGCACCCAUUUAGUGGAACUGAUUAUAGUGGGAUGCAUUUAGUACUAGGAGGCACUUAGCUGAACUAGAAUUACAUUUAUUGAUGAUUGGAACAGGGAUUAGUGCAUGGAUUAAAAGCAAAUUCACUAAGUGAGAGCAAGCAUCACAGCUUGCAAUACUUGGUAUUACCUCUCAGACUAGAGAUUCUGGACAUUUCAUCCUCCUCUCUAGGGAAUCCUGAUAGAUAAGAUUAUAAAUUUCUAAGUGAAUGAUCAGCACUCCUGCUGAACUACAAUUCCUAGGUUUCUUUGGGGAAAAUUAAGACAAUUAUAAUGGGACACAAAAAGUUUAUAAUACAGGACUGUCUGAAAAAAAAUGUUAUGAUGCAAGACAUUGUUCCUGGAACAGUACCUAUGAGCAGGUGAUAUGUGGAACAUGUUGUCAAUUAAUGAUUACAAUUAGAACAAGGUGUUUGGUUUCUUUCGUUCUGCCUUCAUGGAAGAAGGGAGAAAACAAGGAAAAAUGAACAGGUAAAACAGCUUUUUGUACAUGAUUUAAUUGCAUUUAUAGCUUAUUAUUCCCUUUAGUCAUUUUACAGUAAUUAUAGCAAUCUCUGUUAUUUAAUCCCCAAUAUGAUACUAUAUUCAGAUAUAACAAUUUGAAUUCUGGAACACAGGAUUCACAGCCAAUAAUUAUCAGCAAUUAUAACUAUGAAUGGUGGGUGAUGGAAAGAGCUCUUCCUCCACAAAGAAUGGAAAAUAAUCAGCUAAUUUUUAACUCAUCCUUAAAUUAUCUAAUUAUGGGGGACCAGAAGAUUGAUGAAAUUUAUCCAUCCUACCAAAUUAUUUAGUGAGGACAAUAUGGAAAAAGGGCAAUGAAGAACUCUAAAUGGAUUUCUACAAACAAGAGGAUCAGGCAUAAGGUGCUUAACCUCUUCCGCUGGGUGUGUUCAAACAGAGGUUUGAUAAUAAUGUAUCAGGAGUGCUUUUAUUUAGAUUCCUGCACUCAGCAAGAGAUUAGGUUGAUGGCUCCUUCCAAUUCUAGAUGAGGCUUACUAUAAACAGCACUGAAUGAUGCAUAUUAUAGCAUAGUAGUAAUAUUUUUUUUAAAAGCCUAAAUACUAAUGGCGAAUAGUCCAAGAGAGAGACUGACGAGGAAAGAGAUCUUCUGGUAGGGAUGGAAGCUUGGUGAAAACUUAAUUAAACUGUUCUGGAAAAGACAAUUUCCAUCUUGAGAAUCAUUAGAAAGGAUUUUUUAAAAAUGUCAUCAUAAUGAGUCAUAUUUGGAAUACUAUGGACAGUUCUGUUCAACAAACAAAAACAAAGAAGUGGUGAAAUCAUUUUCCUAUGGAAAAAAUUGCCAAAUUAAGCUUCUUUGCUUAGAAAAGAAAGAGGUAUAAAAUUGGACAAGUCAUUGAAAAAAUAAAAAUAAGUUCUUCUUCCCAUCAUUAGAUCAGAACUUUACAGCGUGUAAGUGAAUGGGAACAUGGUUCCUCAGAAACCAUCAUACUUGGGAGUCCUCCUUACCAGGUGUUGCGAGAUAUCUGCUCUAUGACAAAGAGUAACAGUAUCCUAUCAACCAGUGAAGUAUAGUGCUUUCUCUUGACUAUCAGUCUAUCCUAAUAUAAGUGUUGUCCUCCCUAGAGAAGAACUGUUUCACAAAGUAGGCCAUAUGAACCUAUCCUAUUUUGCAAUCCUACUUUGUAUUUAAUUAAACCCUGCCAUUACUACGAGGCUGAUGUUUUCAGUACUGUAUCAAUUUUCCAAUAGAAAGGGUAGUAAAGUAUCUGAAUCCUGAUUUAGAUUUCUUUUAAACCAUUUUAGCAAUUUUUAACCAAUGGAAAUACUGUACUGAAUUCUGUAUGUUAGGCCACACAGAGAGGACUGGCUUCAACCAAGGUCACCUCUGAGUUUUCACAUUAAUGGAUGGCAUUUCUUGAAUGCAAGCUGAUUUAGCCACACAAGGAGAAAUACUCCAGUCACUCAUUGUAAACUAAAAGACAGAAGCCUGGAGAAAAGAAUAAUGGGAAGGCUCUUUGUAAAUCACUCAGUCUUCUAAAGUUAAAGUGGUUUAAAAAAUUCAUAAAUAAAACAAGCUUAAGCAUACUUUGGCUAAGGAAGAAGUAUAGAAAACAACUUGAGAUUUAGAACUGCUUGACACAGCAGCAGGGAAACUGUUGUUUAAUCAAAACAUAGCUAAGGCCAAGAGGUGUCUGAGAUAACAAAGAGAGAAACAAGGAAGCCUUCAUUGCUGCCCUUCACUGUUCCCAGCUGCAGCAGCAGCAGCCUGGGGUUUACAUCACUGUUGGGCUUGAGCAGCAUUCAUAGUGGCUAUGAGAUAAAAGUAAAUUUACAGUUAUGUUAUCAGAUCUGCUUCUUGACCAGAUACCUGGUGAAUCAAAUGUAAUCUGUGAAAAUAUGAACACCUGCUGUACUUUUAGAAAGUGACGUUGAAAGUGAACAUCAUGUGAUCGGAGCAGGAGCCAGUAGCAAUGAAGUAGCCACCACUUUCCCAAAUUUCAUCCCUUGGGAGUCAUGGAUCCCAGACACAUGGACACAUUCUGAGUCAUAAUAAGCUUGAAUCCACAAAGCAAUUUACAGAUGUUAUUUUACUUCCGAUUUUAUUAUUCCCGUCUCCUAUAAUUAGUAAGAUAUAUUUCGCCAGUGUUGUAUCUACAAGAUGCUGCAAAUUGUUACAUCUGUUCAAACUGUUUACGCCCUGCCUCUGCUGUUGGAACAUAGUGGAAGCUCCUCUGAGGUGAAGUGAUUCAUUUUACUCCAUUUAAGCUUACUCAUCCCCUUGACAUAGAACUAUGAAUCAAGAUUCAGAACCAAACAGUCUACGUACCAGCAGUAGAUAUACCUUUGCAAUACUGAACUUUUUUUUUUUUUUGCCUCUGGGCGAUGUAGAUGACAUCAAUAUAUAUCCUAGUGUCACUGUUUAGAAUUGAGUGAAUUUUCUUGGAAACAAUUCUCACUGAAUUCUAUGGUAUUUAUUUCUAACGUCCCCAGAGUUGCAGCUAUGUAGACGUAUAGGGCAGUGAUGGCGAACCUUUUAGUGACCGAGUACCUAAACUGCAACCCAAAACCCACUUAUGCAUCGUCGGGUGCCUGGUGGGUGUGGCCCAUUGGGUGGGCAUGGCCCAUUGA